rnacentral:rRNA from 1 species
AGUCAACAUGCCCAGGGGACGUGGAUAACCUCGGGAAACUGAGGAUAAACCGCGAUAGGUCACUACUUCUGGAAUGGGUAAUGACCCAAACCUAUAUGGCCCCUGGAUUGGACUGCGGCCGAUCAGGCUGUUGGUGAGGUAAUGGCCCACCAAACCUGUAACCGGUACGGGCUCUGAGAGGAGGAGCCCGGAGAUGGGCACUGAGACAAGGGCCCAGGCCCUAUGGGGCGCAGCAGGCGCGAAACCUCUGCAAUAGGCGAAAGCUUGACAGGGUUACUCUGAGUGAUUUCCGUUAAGGAGAUCUUUUGGCACCUCUAAAAAUGGUGCAGAAUAAGGGGUGGGCAAGUCUGGUGUCAGCCGCCGCGGUAAUACCAGCACCCCGAGUGGUCGGGACGUUUAUUGGGCCCAAAGCAUCCGUAGCCGGUUCUACAAGUCUUCCGUUAAAUCCACCUGCUUAACAGAUGGGCUGCGGAAGAUACUAUGGAGCUAGGAGGCGGGAGAGGCAAGCGGUACUCGAUGGGUAGGGGUAAAAUCCGUUGAUCCAUUGAAGACCACCAGUGGCGAAGGCGGCUUGCCAGAACGCGCUCGACGGUGAGGGAUGAAAGCUGGGGGAGCAAACCGGAUUAGAUACCCGGGUAGUCCCAGCUGUAAACGAUGCAGACUCGGUGAUGAGUUGGCUUCAUGCCAACUCAGUGCCGCAGGGAAGCCGUUAAGUUUGCCGCCUGGGGAGUACGGUCGCAAGACUGAAACUUAAA